UAAAAUAUUGAACUACGAAAAACGUUGAGUUGGCUACUUCAUUCUACAAAUGGAAUUGAGAACUCAACACUCCUCAAUACCUAGUGAAAAUAUAACUAGAUUCAGAUUUCCUGAAAAACAGUGAUAGCCAAAGGAUGAAUAGUUACAAUUUUGUUUCAAUUUUCGCGUUCAUUUUGGCGUUUAAUAUUUCAACAGGAAACGCUUUACAAUGUUACCAGUGUUCUUACAAUGUACAUCCUAAUCCCAACAGUACCAAUCGAGAUCGAGAUCGAAACUGUGUAAAUGUGAAUGAAAACACCUCUAGUGCAACAAUUUCCCAGGAUUUGACUCUUGGCUGGCUGGGAUGCUUAUACUUCAGAACAUGGCACAUAGAUGGUUCAUAUAGUCUAAAUCGAUAUGGGAUUAUUGUACCCUAUUUCGUUGGGAAGGACGUUUAUUGUACAGCCCUUCUGGCUGGUAAUCUUGGAGGAACUUGCGAAAUUUGUUAUACAGAUUUCUGCAAUUCCAUGUCAGCUGGCCCGUGAGACUCCUCACCUCUGACCAGGUCAUCACUUCCGACCACAUCAUCACCUCCAAACAUAUCAUUAGCACAAAUGGAACCAAUUCCAAUCUCGCUUAGUUCAACUGGAGUAUUGAAAAUUAUUAAUUGAUAAGGAAAGGAAACAUUUUGAUAUUUUUGCUGGUAAAAAAUAUAACAAUAAUAAAACCAA